CUGGGAAGCGCUGGGAGACUGCACUCCCCCUCCCACGCCGCCCACUCGGGUAAUUUCAUUUAUCCCGCAAAUCUAAUUAGCAAUCCGUGGCUGACAUUAAUACAGAUCUAAUGAGGCCGGCGAUGACCAGAUUAUCAGGCGAGCGCUGACAGAGCCUUAAAGGCACAUCGAGCCCUGCAGUCAGUGGGACCCGGCAGGGGAAAAACUGCUUUAAACGGGGAGAAGAAAAAGAAGAAAAAAAAAAAAAAAGGAAAGGAGGAAAGAAAGAAAAAAAAAUAGAUGAGGGAGGGGGAGAAAAACAUGAGGAAAAGCGGUGCGGGUAGGGCUUGGCUGCUUAGCUUAUUAAGGGAGCUGGAGCUUUGCUUUUGGACGCAGUUUAUCCACCAGCAUCGGGCCUCUGUCCCUGCUUCUCCCGAAUUACCGUUCUGCAGAGGAGAAAAAGGAGGGGGGGAAAUAAGGGGAAAAAAAAAAUAAGAAGAAGCUGGAGCCCAAGGAGUCGCUGUGCAAUUUAUUCCAAGGGGUGGCUGUUGAGAAGGCGGCAAUUUGCGGCGGCCGGGGGUUAUUUAGUGCGAUAUGAAAUCAAAUGAUCCUAUUGCUCAAAUAACAGUGUCUGGGAGGAGAAGCGAGCGCGCUCCAAAGCAGCAGCAGCAGUGGCAAGCACUGAGAUGGAGCAGGAUGGAGUGGCCUGGCCAAGCCGUGGCCCCGCUGGCAGGAGCUGCAGAGUGGACAGCAGAGGGAACAGCUUGGCCAUGAAGGUGCUGCUCUCCUGAAAGAGGAUCCUGGCAGAAACAUGGCUUGGUGCAGAGGACGGCGCGACGAAAGCGAGAGAGCAGCAGACACUUGAACGGAGACUCCUUGUGUUUACAGCCUGGUCACACGAGUGACUGAGACCCGAAAUCUCCCUGACAUACUCUCUGGAUGCUUGGCCUUGGAACAGCCUCAUUUGUGCCACACCUGCUCCCUUCUGCUUGUGGAGCCUUCUAUGCUGCACAGGACACUGGAAAAGCACUUGGAGAUGGCUGGAGAAGGAAGGGGGCUUCCUGGAAAACAGUCUCUAAACCAGCCCUUCCCGGUGCCAUGACUUUUCUGGGGCUCAUUAAUAUCAGUGGUUCCUGCUGGAGGAACUCUGUCACCUUCCCCGAGGCAGCAGAUCUGAGGCCAGACGUGGUGUGCACUGCUUGAGCAUCAGACAUGAGUAAUAACAAGUUUCAAGGAACUGUACCACUUAAUAAAAGCAUUUUAUUACAUUUAAAUGUAUUAAAAUGUGAACAUUAAAUUCAAUGCGCUAA